rnacentral:rRNA from 1 species
UGUGUAGGCGGUUCUUUAAGUUUGGUGUGAAAUCUCCCGGCUCAACUGGGAGGGAGCGCCGAAUACUGAGGGACUAGAGUACGGGAGAGGAAAGUGGAAUUCCUGGUGUAGCGGUGAAAUGCGUAGAUAUCAGGAGGAACACCGGUGGUGUAGACGGCUUUCUGGACCGUAACUGACGCUGAGACACGAAAGCGUGGGUAGCAAACAGGAUUAGAUACCCUGGUAGUCCACGCCCUAAACGAUGCAUAUUUGGUGUGGGCAGUUCAUUCUGUCCGUGCCGGAGCCAACGCGUUAAAUAUGCCGCCUGGGGAGUACAGUCGCAAGGCUGAA